UAUNGCUCAAUGGGGGAAACCCUGAAGCAGCNACGCCGCGUGGAGGAUGACACUUUUCGGAGCGUAAACUCCUUUUGUUAGGGAAGAACAAUGACGGUACCUAACGAAUAAGCACCGGCUCACUCCGUGCCAGCAGCCGCGGUAAUACGGAGGGUGCAAGCGUUACUCGGAAUCACUGGGCGUAAAGGACGCGUAGGCGGAUUAUCAAGUCUCGUGUGAAAUCCUAUGGCUUAACCAUAGAACUGCUUGGGAAACUGAUAAUCUAGAGUGAGGGAGAGGCAGAUGGAAUUGGUGGUGUAGGGGUAAAAUCCGUAGAGAUCACCAGGAAUACCCAUUGCGAAGGCGAUCUGCUGGAACUCAACUGACGCUAAUGCGUGAAAGCGUGGGGAGCAAACAGG
rnacentral:rRNA from 1 species